rnacentral:rRNA from 1 species
GAUGAACGCUGGCGGCGUGCCUAAUACAUGCAAAUCGAGCGAACAGACGAGGAGCUUGCUCCUCUGACGUUAGCGGCGGACGGGUGAGUAACACGUGGAUAACCUACCUAUAAGACUGGGAUAACUUCGGGAAACCGGAGCUAAUACCGGAUAAUAUAUUGAACCGCAUGGUUCAAUAGUGAAAGACGGUUUUGCUGUCACUUAUAGAUGGAUCCACGCCGCAUUAGCUAGUUGGUAAGGUAACGGCUUACCAAGGCAACGAUGCGUAGCCGACCUGAGAGGGUGAUCGGCCACACUGGAACUGAGACACGGUCCAGACUCCUACGGGAGGCAGCAGUAGGGAAUCUUCCGCAAUGGGCGAAAGCCUGACGGAGCAACGCCGCGUGAGUGAUGAAGGUCUUCGGAUCGUAAAACUCUGUUAUUAGGGAAGAACAAAUGUGUAAGUAACUAUGCACGUCUUGACGGUACCUAAUCAGAAAGCCACGGCUAACUACGUG